rnacentral:rRNA from 1 species
UACCAGCUCUCCGAGUGGUGUGAAUGUUUAUUGGGCCUAAAGCAUCCGUAGCUGGCUGGGCAAGUCCCCUGUUAAAUCCACCGAUUUAAUCGUUGGUGUGCGGGGGAUACUGUUCGGCUAGGGGACGGGAGAGGCCGACGGUAUUUUCGGGGUAGGGGUGAAAUCCUAUAAUCCCGGGAAGACCACCAGUGGCGAAGGCUGUCGGCUAGAACGCGCCCGACGAUGAGGGAUGAAAGCUGGGGGAGCGAACCGGAUUAGAUACCCGGGUAGUCCCAGCUGUAAACGAUGCAGGCUAGGUGUUUGGGCGGCCACGUGCCGCUCUAGUGCCGCAGAGAAGUCGUUAAGCCUGCCGCCUGGGGAGUACGGCCGCAAGGCUAGAAACUUAAAGGAAUUGGGCGGGGGAGCACCACGAAGGGGUGAAGCUUGCGGUUU